rnacentral:rRNA from 1 species
UACGUAGGGGGCAAGCGUUGUCCGGAAUCAUUGGGCGUAAAGAGCGUGUAGGCGGCCAGAAAAGUCCGCUGUGAAAACUCGAGGCUCAACUUCGAGCUGUCGGUGGAAACUUUCUGGCUAGAGUCCGGAAGAGGAGAAUGGAAUUCCUGGUGUAGCGGUGAAAUGCGCAGAUAUCAGGAAGAACACCCGUGGCGAAAGCGGCUCACUGGACCACAACUGACGCUGAGGCGCGAAAGCUAGGGGAGCAAACAGG